rnacentral:rRNA from 1 species
UGAGGAACAUGACUUUCGGCGGGGGAUAGCCGGCCCAACGGCCGGGUAAUACCGCGUACGACCACAUGGGGACAUCCCUGAGUGGUGAAAGCAGCAAUGCGCCGAUGGAGUGCCUCGCGGCCUAUCAGCUAGUUGGUGAGGUAAUGGCUCACCAAGGCGACGACGGGUAGCUGGUCUGAGAGGAUGGCCAGCCACAUUGGGACUGAGACACGGCCCAGAUUCCCGUAACGGGGG